AGGUGAGACUCAGCGGCGGCGGGACUGGGAGGAUGGCCUGAGCUGGGCUUUGCCUAAAAAAGGAAGCGCACAGCUGAGCCCCAGGAGCUGGCGGCAGGAACAAGCCUCAAGGAAGCAGCGCUCUCCUCCAGCCUGACAUCAGAAGGAGAGGGACACUGGAGGCCCAGCCUCCACUGAGUCCUGUCUGCCCAGCCUCUACCCAGUCACUGCUGCUGCCCCACCCCCUGGGGACCCUCCCCAUCAGCCCUACUCCCCUACUCAAUCCAAGCACAAGCCUUAUUCCUGUGCCCUGCCCUGCCCCCCAGUGCGCUCCCUACCUCCAGAGGAAAGCUGUGGACAGAUGGGAUCCCAGAGGGUGAGGGAGUUAGCCUGAGUUGUGGUGGUCAGAGCCAGGCCUGGGCUUUAGACCGACACCAGAGGAAGCACAAAUAGAAUGAUCCAGAAGCCUCUUCUCUGAAGGGAGCAGGGCCCAGUUGGUAAAGAGGGCAGAGACAUAGACAAAGGCAAGGACUGGCCAGGCCAAACAGCAGGGCCCAUCCUCCAGCCCUCCGCCUGAGCAGGUGCAGUCUCUGCCUGGGCCUGGCAUCCCGGGGACCCAGAGGAGGAUGCAGCAGGUGAGGCUGAGAGCACCUUGCCCCACAACUUGGCCCAGGCACAGGGAGUUGCUGUGUCUCACUUCCCAGAGCUGGCCCAGCUGCUUAUCUGCACGCAGAUGGGGGGUUUCCCUGAACUGAGGGAUACUGCUCCCAGUAGGGCAUUGCCCCUGCCCCCACUGAGGUCCCGGAGAAAGCUCCCUCCUCCACACAAUCCAGGCUUCUGCAGAGAAGAAGGGCCUUUUGUCCCCAGCUCACUGUAGUCAUGUUCAACCCCAGAGAAAAGGGCAUCUCCUGGGGCCUCUGACCCCACCCCUGACCCCAGCUGAGGGCAGAGUGGCCUGGGCCCCCACCCCAUUGCUGAGCUGCUGUUUGUCAGUUGUUUGUAUCUACAUGCAAACCCACGCUCACAUCCACGGAGGGGGGGGACACAAAAACAGGAAGUGGCAGGAGCAGCUGCAUGGGCCCUGGCCAGGGGAGUGGGGUGAGGCUGGGUCCGGUGACCCUGCCUCAUCCAGGCAAGCAGCGGGGUAGGGGAAGGGGCAGCCAAGAGCAGCAGGGCCCUACAGCUCCUUCCCACUGCCCCCCCUUCCUCUAGACUUGAUGUGUCCUCCUAGGGUUAGGAUCAUGCCAGGCAGGGCCCAAGACCAGUCCUGGGAGCUGGAGGUGCCUGUCUCACCCCCAGAGCCCCGAGCUGACACCUCUCCCAGUCCCUGCCGUGAAGGUAGCAGGGAAGAGGCAUGGGAGGGUGAGUGCCAGGCAGUGUCCAUCAAACCAGCUUCUGCCCGGGGACCCCAGCUACCAGGCAGAGCCCUCCUCCCAGUACCACCAGACUCGGUGUGAACAGGCGAUGCUGGGCCAGCAGGGACAGGACAGCUUGUUUUCCCUGUAGAGGAUGGGGCCCUGUGGCAGCAGAGGGUCAGCAGGGACCUGAGGCAGAGCUGCACAAAGGUCUUCCUUCAAGGCAGAGGGGGACAGUUAGUGCCAGGGCCUGGGUGGGGGUGGGCAUGCCUGCCAGUCCGGGGACCUGGGCUGGCGGACAGCAAGGGCAGGGCCAGUGUAGGGCCUUCAGGCAGCAGGGAGGUGAUGGGACUCCAAGUGCGUGGAGAAGACAGUGCCAAGGAAGGGCAGAGGGCUGAUCCCAGGCCCCGAGGGAGAUACUGGGUAAGCCGCCAUCAGAAGUCGGGCAGGGACUCGGUGAGAGUCUGGAUUCGGGUGUCCAGAAUGUGCCACCAAACAAUAACGUGCCUUUCUGAGGUGGGCCACCCCAGCUUUGGUCCUCUUGGCUGGCCUGCUCUUCUGUAGGUGAUUGCCAGGUCCUGCUCCAUCCUCAGGUAGGGCCCAGGCAGGUUCACGGAGCACCCAGGGGCUCAGAUGGAGGAGGACGCAGGAAGGGGCAGGCCUGGAUCAACACCUUGAGGGCAGCCUCCCUAGUGUCAGGGCCCAGGAGCAGGGGCCUCACUCUGCCUCCUCCUUCCUAGCCCACCCUCUCCGGCUCAGGCACUGCCAGCAUGGUGCCCAGCCCACGUGCCUCGGUGGGGCAUGCCUCUCAGGAGCUCAGGGGCUGGAGGAACAGUUGGCUAAGCAUGGGCCCUCCUUGCCCCUGAAGCAGGGUGUGCCUGCAAAUAUUUUGUGAAUAAAAUAAACAAACUUAUGGGGU